GAGUUUGAUCCUGGCUCAGAUUGAACGCUGGCGGCAUGCCUUACACAUGCAAGUCGAACGGCAGCACGGGAGCUUGCUCCUGGUGGCGAGUGGCGAACGGGUGAGUAAUGCAUCGGAACGUAUCCUGGAGUGGGGGAUAACGUAGCGAAAGUUACGCUAAUACCGCAUAUUCUGUGAGCAGGAAAGCGGGGGACCUUCGGGCCUCGCGCUCUUGGAGCGGCCGAUGUCGGAUUAGCUAGUUGGUGAGGUAAAGGCUCACCAAGGCGACGAUCCGUAGCAGGUCUGAGAGGAUGAUCUGCCACACUGGAACUGAGACACGGUCCAGACUCCUACGGGAGGCAGCAGUGGGAUUUUGGACAAUGGGGGCAACCCUGAUCCAGCCAUGCCGCGUGAGUGAAGAAGGCUCGGUUGUAGACUCUUCGUCGAGGAGAAG
rnacentral:rRNA from 1 species